AUAGGAGAACUAAAGAAAAAUGCUAUCAAAAUUUUUUUCAACCCCUGUUAUAUAUUUUUUGAUUACUGUAAUGGACCUAUAGAAUUAAUAUAUUUUUUGAAUGGGAUAGGAUCUAUCUUUACCUAUUAGUUGAUGAUAGGCUGCAUUUAUUAUGUAAAUCAUUUUGAAUGAUAAAAUAAUAUUUAGCAAUUGCCUUGUAUUUUUGUAUAUGCAGAAUUCUUAGAUAAUCUAUUAUGAACCCUAGUUGGAUAGACCAUCGAGUAGUCAAUGGAGAGAUUUUUGCUGAAUAC
rnacentral:lncRNA from 1 species